AUUCUGUAUUUCUAACAAAACUCUUGGGUAAUUCUCAAGUAGAAGGUUUAGAUUUUACUUUGAGAAAAAAUAAACUAGAAGAUAGAAAAGAUCAAGUUAAGUAUAUAAGAGUAUUGUCAUUUGUGAACUCAACUCAAUAGUGAGCUCCUGUAAUACAUGGGAUUUACUGAAAAUGCUGUGCUGCUUCCCGUCCACUGGACCCUGCUGUAAGGGGCAUGUCAUCAGCGCUCUCCUUACUAGUUUUGGGAAAGCACUUGAAAUGCAGAAUGAAGGUCAGUGAAGUCUGGCAUAAAAUAAUAAAAGACCAAGAUAAGAAAACUAAUAUGAUAAUCUAUUGUAUGAACAGUCGUAUCAAUCUGUUAAUAAUAAGAUUUAUCAAUAAACUAUCAGAAUGAUACCU
rnacentral:lncRNA from 1 species